CGAAACGUGCCUUGUCCAAGGAUCGCGCACGAACGCGAAGUUCCGUGUUCCAGUGCGCUGGCACAACUCUUUCGGCCCCAUUGUUUGGCUUUUCGAUUCUUUCUUCCUCCCAAUAAACGAGGGAGUCGACGGAUGUCACUUCGAAGGUGCGCCACGGCAUGUUUGCGCGUCACGUCCGUGUGCGGAGUUGCGAGGGUCUCGAGCUCGCGCGUCCCCAGAGCUGAAGUCUGACUUAGACGACGAUUUAUUUUCCUUCGUCCCUUCUCAUAGCACUACGAAGGUACCUUCGAAAUUCCUUCGAGCCCAAACGCGUCGAGGUGGCAGAAUCUGGGACGGUGCUAUCUACAAUCCGUAUCGCGCGCAAGGAUGGCCGCUCUCGCGCCGAAAAUCGGGGCGUUCCCUUCGAAGGUACCUUCGAAGGUGGGACGGACACAGUACGGGAUAGUAGGUUGGAUAUCAUAACACAGUAGUAGUAGGGAACAAAUCAUACAUACAUUCAGUCGUCGGUGACGCGCGCGUCGGAUAGAUCAGACGAGGUUCUUGAGCUUGGCGUACAUUUCGUCGACGGUCGCCUUGGCGUCGCCCAGCACCAUGU
rnacentral:lncRNA from 1 species